rnacentral:lncRNA from 1 species
GCUCUCUGCCCAGUUCAUAAUUGAUAUUAACAGGAAACACUAGCAGCAGUGUAGGUCUGAUAUGGUAAUGAUGAUCUACACCAGUAAUCUGAGAAGCGACAAGGAGGAAACCUGUGGGAUUAACACUAAUAAAGCACUCAUGUCCUUGUCAAGUGCUACAGGAAGCUGGCAUCUCCCAAAAGGCCGUAGCGGCCAGCAGCUGCACGUACUGUUUCCAUCAGCCGUAUCUGCAUCUACAGUUAUUUGAAUGGAAGAGAACAGAGCCGUCGGUCAUGGAACUCUAACCUCGAUUGGGAAACACAGGGUUUCGAUUUCCUGCCGAGAUCGCUCUUCAAAUAUUCAUCGUCCCUAUAUUCUGGAGCCAUUUGAUAAUUGACACUGGGACAGGUUUUAUGAUCUCCUCUCUUCAUCUGAGCGUGUGGAGCACCAUUACAGAUUGUCCUUUAACCUCUCAAACCGGACCUAUUAAACCAGCCUUUGUGUUGUGGCCCAAUGCUUUCUUGGACUAGAAUCUGCUGACAGUUAGGAGAUAUUCUGUUAAACUCUCCCUUUCUUCUCUAAUUGUGUUUGGGCUGCUUUUCUUAGAGAAAUAUUAUUCCGAGAUGCUUGAGGAUUUCCCUAGUCCAGAGAUCAGUUUUACGGACUCUCUGACUUUACCAACAUCCUGUGUUUGGGGACUUCACUUUCUUGCUUAAUCCAUUCUUUAGUGCUCAAUUUAUGCCUUCUGUUGUGACUUGGAUCUGGACAGUUAGCAUGUAUUGUAUAGCCCAGCUACCAGUUUGACCGGACAAUUAGCAUUUUUAGUCCUCAACUGCCAUUUCACUUAAUUUCAUUUGUAACUUUGUGGCCAGAGAUAAGAAAAGAGGGACCUUCAGCACGUCUUCUUUUCACAGACUGAAAUGUAUUGUAUUAUAUCCUGUGUGAGUUGCUCUAACCUUUACCAACCUUUCCUUUGGACAUUUUUAGUUUUGACUUUGCGGACUCUGUAUUGUUGGUGCUCUGCGGAGCGUGUAAUAUAUGUGUUGAUAUUCCCUGAUCCCCACAGCCGACCAGAACAGAGGAAAGUUCUGUCCUCUGACUUUGGGAGUGCUGACAUCUUCAUAUUCCUGCCCACCCUGCCACCCGCUCCCUCCCAGAUAUCUCUGAUUGAUGUUCGUCUGCCUGGCCGACUAUCGUCCGCUUUCCUUCAUGAAUACAGACGUGAAUCACAGGGAUUAGCAUUCCGCUCUUCUUCUCUGGCCGCCUCUUCCUCAGUGGUGUCUCAGCUCCAUACACACGUCUGGCAGUUCCGCUGACGUGGGGGGUCUGUGAUGAGUGGCAGGGGGCCCCGGCAGAGGGAGCCCUGUCGGACGCUACCUCACUCACUGCCACUUUGGAAAGCCCUCGUCUCACUGAAUAUUUCAUGGUGUGAUUUGGGAUGUAAAUUAAAG